rnacentral:rRNA from 1 species
UUCUCCUACGGGGCGCAGCAGUGAGGAAUAUUGGUCAAUGGUCGGGAGACUGAACCAGCCAAGCCGCGUGAGGGAUGAAGGUACAGAGUAUCGUAAACCUCUUUUGUCAGGGAACAAAGGCGGGGACGUGUCCCCGGAUGAGUGUACCUGAAGAAAAAGCAUCGGCUAACUCCGUGCCAGCAGCCGCGGUAAUACGGAGGAUGCGAGCGUUAUCCGGAUUUAUUGGGUUUAAAGGGUGCGUAGGCGGACGCUUAAGUUAGCGGUAAAAUUGCGGGGCUCAACCUCGUCGAGCCGUUGAAACGGGG